rnacentral:tRNA from 1 species
GGGCCAUUAGCUCAGUUGGUAGAGCAGUGGACUCUUAAUCCAUUUGUCGUAGGUUCGACCCCUACAUGGCCCACCA